rnacentral:rRNA from 1 species
UAAGAGGGGGAUAACAUCCGGAAACGGGUGUCUAAUACCGCAUAGUUUUCUUGAUCGCAUGAUCGGGAAAGGAAAGACGGCCUUUGUGCUGUCGCUUAUGGAUGGACCCGCGGCGUAUUAGUUAGUUGGUGAGGUAACGGCUCACCAAGACGAUGAUACGUAGCCGACCUGAGAGGGUGAUCGGCCACAUUGGGACUGAGACACGGCCCAAACUCCUACGGGAGGCAGCAGUAGGGAAUCUUCCGCAAGUGGACGAAAGUCUGACGGGAGCAACGCCGCGUGAGUGAAAAGAAGGUUUUCGGAUCGUAAAACUCUGUUGUCAGAGAAGUAACAAGUUGGAGAGUAACUGCUCCAGCCUUGACGGUAUCUGACCAGAAAGCCACGGCUAACUACGUGCCAGCCGCCGC